rnacentral:rRNA from 1 species
UUUAAAUGAGAGUUUGAUCCUGGCUCAGGAUGAACGCUGGCGGCGUGCUUAACACAUGCAAGUCGAACGGAGGUCUUAGGAGUGCUUGCACUCAGAAGACUUUAGUGGCGGACGGGUGAGUAACGCGUGGGGAACCUGCCCCGUACCGGGGGAUAACAGCCGGAAACGGCUGCUAAAACCGCAUAAGCGCACGGCAUCGCAUGAUGCAGUGUGAAAAACUCCGGUGGUACGGGAUGGACCCGCGUCUGAUUAGCCAGUUGGCAGGGUAACGGCCUACCAAAGCGACGAUCAGUAGCCGGCCUGAGAGGGUGGACGGCCACAUUGGGACUGAGACACGGCCCAAACUCCUACGGGAGGCAGCAGUGGGGAAUAUUGCACAAUGGGGGAAACCCUGAUGCAGCGACGCCGCGUGAGUGAAGAAGUUAUUCGUAAUGUAAAGCUCUAUCAGCAGGGAAGAAAAUGACGGUACCUGACUAAGAAGCACCGGCUAAAUACGUGCCAGCAGCCGCGGUAAUACGUAUGGUGCAAGCGUUAUCCGGAUUUACUGGGUGUAAAGGGAGCGUAGACGGCAAUGCAAGUCUGGAGUGAAAGGCGGGGGCCCAACCCCCGGACUGCUCUGGAAACUGUAUGGCUGGAGUGCAGGAGAGGUAAGUGGAAUUCCUAGUGUAGCGGUGAAAUGCGUAGAUAUUAGGAGGAACACCAGUGGCGAAGGCG